rnacentral:lncRNA from 1 species
AUUGCUGCACGAGUUUUAUAAUAAAAAGAGGUGAAACAAAGAAAACAAAACAAAAUAAAGAAAAAGAAAAAAAAAGAAGCCAGUUGCACCUAAAGAAAGUGGGGGUUACAUGUGGAACAAAAAUGUGGAGGAAUGAUUGGUCUGAGCAUGGAAAAGGAAGUACUUAUUAAAUGUUCUUAGGGAGGUUAGUCACUACAUCCAAAUGUAUCCUACCCGUCCCUUAGCCUACAUUACAACCAAAUAAAGACCUCUUGAUCUUUGACUAAAGCAGCUCGAUUAGUAGAGUACUACCCUAGGGUCAAGCUUAUGGUGUGUCUGUGUGGCAUAUGAAUGAUCUUUGCUGAGAGUGAGUGAAUUAUUUCUAAAUUUGGGUUCCUUGUGUUGAAUUUUUCUAUGUGUGUGGAACUUCUAUAAGACUUUUGAUGUGAGGGCAUGUGACUCAGGAAGGAAAAGUAAGUCUUCCCUGUUGUUAGAGUAACUAGAGUGAGCUUGAGUGUGUCAUGGCAGUAGAGUCUGCAUCUUGGGUAGGAUUGUUGCACUGCUUAGGUUAGUUCGUCAAAAUGGCGGGUGUAACAUAACUUUGGGCGAUGCAGUGAACAGUUAGGCCUAGAAGUGUGGUUUAGUUUGCUCGAGGACGAGCAAAUGUCUAAGUGUGGGGUAUUGAUAAUCGGUGAAUUUAACUAUAUUCAGGCCAUAAACUACCACUUCUUACAUAGUUUUGGUAAUGAAAGUGAUAACAAAAUGCUCUUAUUAGUAUUUUUCUUGAUGUGCAGGCUAUAUAUGACUAGGGAAGGCUAUGUAGAACUUUUGGUGUCAAAAAUGAAGAAAAAUGAGGCCAACUGUGAAAUGUCCCAAGUGAACUACGCAAAAACAGGCUGAAGAAUCAGAAAAAUUGAGUCUGCGGCGGUUCCACCGCGACCGCGACAGAACCGCGGUGGAAGACAGCUGCAGACAAAGUUGGUAUCCACGGGGGUGUUUGGCC